rnacentral:rRNA from 1 species
ACGCACGCUGGCGGCAUGCCUAACACCUGCAAGUCGCACGAGACCUUCGGGUCUAGUGGCGCACGGGUGCGUAACGCGUGGGAACCUGCCCUUAGGUUCGGAAUAACUCCCCGAAAGGGGUGCUAAUACCGGAUAAUGUUUUCGGACCAAAGAUUUAUCGCCUUUGGAUGGGCCCGCGUUGGAUUAGCUAGUUGGUAGGGUAAAAGCCUACCAAGGCGACGAUCCAUAGCUGGUCUGAGAGGAUGAUCAGCCACACUGGGACUGAGACACGGCCCAGACUCCUACGGGAGGCAGCAGUGGGGAAUAUUGGACAAUGGGCGAAAGCCUGAUCCAGCAAUGCCGCGUGAGUGAUGAAGGCCUUAGGGUUGUAAAGCUCUUUUACCCGGGAUGAUAAUGACAGUACCGGGAGAAUAAGCUCCGGCUAACUCCGUG